CUGCCGACGAGGAAUGCCGGCCGGGGCUGCGGCUGCUCCCGCUGUCCCGGUAACGCCGGCCCGUCCCCACGGCAACGCCACCGGCCAUGGCGGGGCGAGGCGCUGCCGGCCCGGGCCGAGGGUCAGCUAAAGUGUAAAGAUACUGACUAUGAAAGAAAAAGUGAUCUGUAUAAAGACAUAGUCACAUUUUUAAGGGGUGAUCGCCUAGAUUUGUGGAAAAUAUGGCCAAACAGGAAUCUAGUAUGUCUAAAGAACCAGCACACAAGAAGAAUCAGCAUGUGGAAGGUGCUGAGAUUUCUGGCCAAUCACAGAGCCUUCAUAAUCUUACAGAAAAGACUGAAUGUGAGAAAGGGAAAACUUGUUCAACAGGACCCACUGACCAGAGGUCAAAACCACAUAUGAAGUGGAAGAGCAGUGGGAUUUCUGCUUCCCAAAGUGGUGACAAGGUUCGAAAAAAAUACUCUGAAGGAGAAGGAAAAAGUAGAGCUGGAUCUCUGACUGCAAAAAAGAAAGCCAGUGGCAAAUCUAAAUCGGUUAAAAUUCAAGAAACUUCAAAAUGUAAAGCAUCAAUCAGCCUUGAGGAUAGUGAAAGUUCCUCAGAGACUGAUGAGGAUGAACACCCUGUACGUCGUCAGGAAGGAGGCAGCGAUUUGUCAGCAGAAUACUGGGGAAUUCAAAAACUUGCAAAAUAUGUAAAAGACCUCAGAAAAAGACAUGAACAUCUCACCCUAAGGAAUACAAUGGAUCUUCAAAUACUAAUUGUUUAAAGUGAAAAGUCUAAAAUCUCUGUUUAUGGAUGUUUCCACAGUCUUGAAAUGUGACCCUGUGUGUGUGUGAUGGAUACAAAUGUUAGGAUCUAAUGGCCGAAGUCCCUACUCUGUGUAGGACAUAUAUUGCACAUCAAAGCUUUUUCUACAAUCUGUG
rnacentral:lncRNA from 1 species